UGCAGUCGAACGGGGUCGGAACUUCGGUUUCGGCUUACGUGGCGCACGGGUGAGUAACACGUGGGAAUCUGCCCAUCUAUGGGGAAUAACUGCGGGAAACUGCAGCUAAUACCGCAUACGCCCUUCGGGGGAAAGGCUUCGGCCGUAGAUGGAUGAGCCCGCGUCCGAUUAGCUAGUUGGUGGGGUAAUGGCCUACCAAGGCGACGAUCGGUAGCUGGUCUGAGAGGAUGAUCAGCCACACUGGGACUGAGACACGGCCCAGACUCCUACGGGAGGCAGCAGUGGGGAAUAUUGGACAAUGGGCGAAAGCCUGAUCCAGCAAUGCCGCGUGAGUGAUGAAGGUCUUCGGAUUGUAAAGCUCUUUCGACGGGGAAGAUAAUGACGGUACCCGUAGAAGAAGCCCCGGCUAACUUCGUGCCAGCAGCCGCGGUAAUACGAAGGGGGCUAGCGUUGUUCGGAUUUACUGGGCGUAAAGCGUGCGUAGGCGGCUUAUCAAGUCAGAAGUGAAAGCCCGGGGCUCAACUCCGGAAUGGCUUUUGAGACUGGUAGGCUGGAGUUCGGGAGAGGGUAGUGGAAUUCCCAGUGUAGAGGUGAAAUUCGUAGAUAUUGGGAAGAACACCGGUGG
rnacentral:rRNA from 1 species